rnacentral:rRNA from 1 species
AUUGAACGCUGGCGGCAUGCUUUACACAUGCAAGUCGAACGGUAACAGGCCUUCGGGUGCUGACGAGUGGCGAACGGGUGAGUAAUACAUCGGAACGUACCCAGAGGUGGGGGAUAACGCAGCGAAAGCUGUGCUAAUACCGCAUGUGAUCUGAGGAUGACAGCGGGGGACCGAGCAGCAAUGUUUGGCCUCGCGCCUUUGGAGCGGCCGAUGUCGGAUUAGCUAGUUGGUGGGGUAAAGGCCUACCAAGGCGACGAUCCGUAGCUGGUCUGAGAGGACGACCAGCCACACUGGGACUGAGACACGGCCCAGACUCCUACGGGAGGCAGCAGUGGGGAAUUUUGGACAAUGGGCGCAAACCUGAUCCAGCAAUGCCGCGUGCGGGAAGAAGGCCUUCGGGUUGUAAACCGCUUUUGGCAGGAACGAAACGGUGUCCGCUAAUACCGGGCGCUAAUGACGGUACCUGCAGAAUAAGCACCGGCUAACUACGUG